UGGGGAAUAUUGCACAAUGGGGGAAACCCUGAUGCAGCGACGCCGCGUGAGCGAAGAAGUAUUUCGGUAUGUAAAGCUCUAUCAGCAGGGAAGAAAAUGACGGUACCUGACUAAGAAGCUCCGGCUAAAUACGUGCCAGCAGCCGCGGUAAUACGUAUGGAGCAAGCGUUAUCCGGAUUUACUGGGUGUAAAGGGAGCGCAGGCGGCAUGGCAAGUCUGGUGUGAAAGGCCGGGGCUCAACCCCGGGACUGCAUUGGAAACUGCCAGGCUGGAGUGCCGGAGAGGUAAGCGGAAUUCCUAGUG
rnacentral:rRNA from 1 species